rnacentral:lncRNA from 1 species
AGCACACUUGAGAGAGCUGAGGCAAGCUACAAAGAGAACCGUCUGCCCUGAGGCAGAAGGCUUGACAGACAGGUACCUUGGAUACAAGGGCAAAUUCCAUGACUACCAUGGCUGACAAAAUGGACAUGUCAUUGGAAGACAUCCUUAAGCUGAACAAGAUGCAGCAAGGACGUCUUGACAGGCCUGAUUCCCGGGUGAAGCGAGGCACUGGGCCUAAGAGGUAUCGGCCAGCUUUCACCCAUGAUGGAAGGAACAGGCUGGCACCAUACUGCAGACCAAAACAACUUCCAGACAAGUGGCAGCAUGACCUAUUCAUUGGAGGCUUCAGGGGUCAAAACCACGUGGAUACUGGUGGGAAGCUGUUCCUGUCAAAUCUGCACUUCGGAGUGUCAGAUGCUGAUAUUCAGCUACUCUUUGCUGAAUUUGGAACGUUGAAAAAAUCUGCUGUGCACUAUGAUCGCUGUGGACGAAGUUUAGGGACAGCACAUGUGCACUUUGAAAGGAAAGCAGAUGCCCUGAAGGCUAUGAGAGAGUACAAUGGCGCCCCUUUGGAUGGCCGCCCUAUGAACAUCCACCUUGUCACCUCACAGAUUGAUAGACAAGGAAGACCUGCACUAAACAGUGAUAAGGGCGGCAUGACAAGAAACCCUGGCUCUGGAGUAUUAAGUGGUGGAGGCAACAAGAGAUGGACACUUGGAGGCAGCCAGGGAAGAGGGAGAGGCACCAGCAGGAACUCAAAACUGCAGCAGCAGCAGCAGCAGCAGCAGCAGCAGCAGCAGCAGCAGCAGCAGCAAGAGGAGCAGAAGCACCAGAAGCAGCAACAGCAGAAGCAGCAGCAACAGCAGCAGAAGCAGGGACAGAAUCACCAGCACCAGCAGCAGCAGAAGGAGAAGGAACUGCAGCAGCUAUCUGUAGAGGAGCUGGACGCCCAGCUGGAUGCUUAUCAGGAAAUGAUGGACACCAGCUAAACAACUGAGCAAAGCUGCACAACAACGGGACCCAGAGGCUGGUCUCUGAUGCCUAGACUGAGGGUUGGCUACUGGACCAUGAACACAAUGGUGGAUUCCUCCUUUGCUUCUUUUGCUUUUCUCCUGUUUUAAAACCCCAUGUAAAGUUCUUUCUUUCUCUCCUUUCUUUUAUUUACAUUCAGAAAUACACUUGUUUUGUACUGAGUUAUUUUGUGGGUAAAUUGUAGUUUUUGCUUUGGUGAAGUAGGCAUUUUCACCUUUGCCCUAAUAAAAUUGUGUGUGAAAUAAACAAGAGCACACUUGAGAGAGCUGAGGCAAGCUACAAAGAGAACCGUCUGCCCUGAGACAGAAGGCUUGACAGACAGGUACCUUGGAUACAAGGGCAAAUUCCAUGACUACCAUGGCUGACAAAAUGGACAUGUCAUUGGAAGACAUCAUUAAGCUGAACAAGAUGCAGCAAGGACGUCGUGACAGGCCUGAUUCCCGGGUGAAGCGAGGCACUGGGCCUAAGAGGUAUCGGCCAGCUUUCACCCAUGGUGGAAGGAACAGGCUGGCACCAUACUGCAGACCAAAACAACUUCCAGACAAGUGGCAGCAUGACCUAUUCAUUGGAGGCUUCAGGGGUCAAAACCACGUGGAUACUGGUGGGAAGCUGUUCCUGUCAAAUCUGCACUUCGGAGUGUCAGAUGCUGAUAUUCAGCUACUCUUUGCUGAAUUUGGAACGUUGAAAAAAUCUGCUGUGCACUAUGAUCGCUGUGGACGAAGUUUAGGGACAGCACAUGUGCACUUUGAAAGGAAAGCAGAUGCCCUGAAGGCUAUGAGAGAGUACAAUGGCGCCCCUUUGGAUGGCCGCCCUAUGAACAUCCACCUUGUCACUUCACAGAUUGAUAGACAAGGAAGACCUGCACUAAACAGUGAUAAGGGUGGCAUGACAAGAAACCCUGGCUCUGGAGUAUUAAGUGGUGGAGGCACCAAGAGAUGGACACUUGGAGGCAGCCAGGGAAGCGGGAGAGGCACCAGCAGGAACUCAAAACUGCAGCAGCAGCAGCAGCAGCAGCAGCAGCAAGAGGAGCAGAAGCACCAGAAGCAGCAACAGCAGAAGCAGCAGCAACAGCAGCAGAAGCAGGGACAGAAUCACCAGCACCAGCAGCAGCAGAAGGAGCAGCAGCAGCAACAGCAGCAGAAGGAACUGCAGCAGCUAUCUGUAGAGGAGCUGGACGCCCAGCUGGAUUAUUAUCAGGAUAUGAUGGACACCAGCUAAACAACUGAGCAAAGCUGCCCAACAACGGGACCCAGAGGCUGGUCUCUGAUGCCUAGACUGAGGGUUGGCUACUGGACCAUGAACACAAUGGUGGAUUCCUCCUUUGCUUCUUUUGCUUUUCUCCUGUUUUAAAACCCCAUGUAAAGUUCUUUCUUUCUCUCCUUCUUUCUUUUAUUUACAUUCAGAAAUACACUUGUUUUGUACUGAGUUAUUUUGUGGAUAAAUUGUAGUUUUUGCUUUGGUGAAGUAGGCAUUUUCACCUUUGCCCUAAUAAAAUUGUGUGUGAAAUAAACAAGAGGCAAGCUACAAAGAGAACUGUCUGCCCUGAGACAGAAGGCUUGACAGACAGGUACCUUGGAUACAAGGGCAAAUUCCAUGACUACCAUGGCUGACAAAAUGGACAUGUUUGGAAGACAUCAUUAAGCUGAACAAGAUGCAGCAAGGACUUCGUGACAGGCCUGAUUCCCGGGUGAAGCGAGGCACUGGGCCUAAGAGAUAUCGGCCAGCUUUCACCCAUGGUGGAAGGAACAGGCUGGCACCAUACUGCAGACCAAAACAACUUCCAGACAAGUGGCAGCAUGACCUAUUCAUUGGAGGCUUCAGGGGUCAAAACCAUGAGGAUACUGGUGGGAAGCUGUUCCUGUCAAAUCUGCACAUUGGAGUGUCAGAUGCUGAUAUUCAGCUACUCUUUGCUGAAUUUGGAACGUUGAAAAAAUCUGCUGUGCACUAUGAUCGCUGUGGACGAAGUUUAGGGACAGCACAUGUGCACUUUGAAAGGAAAGCAGAUGCCCUGAAGGCUAUGAGAGAGUACAAUGGCGCCCCUUUGGAUGGCCGCCCUAUGAACAUCCACCUUGUCACCUCACAGAUUGAUAGACAAGGAAGACCUGCACAAAACAGUGAUAGGGGCGGCAUGACAAGAAACCCUGGCUCUGGAGUAUUAGGUGGUGGAGGCACCAAGAGAUGGACACUUGGAGGCAGCCAGGGAAGCGGGAGAGGCACCAGCAGGAACUCAAAACUGCAGCAGCAGCAGCAGCAGCAGCAGCAGCAGCAGCAGGAGCCAGAGGAGCAGAAGCACCAGAAGCAGCAACAGCAGAAGCAGCAGCAACAGCAGCAGAAGCAGGGACAGAAUCAUCAGCACCAGCAGCAGCAGAAGGAGCAGCAACAGCAACAGCAGCAGAAGGAACUGCAGCAGCUAUCUGUAGAGGAGCUGGACGCCCAGCUGGAUGCUUAUCAGGAUAUGAUGGACACCAGCUAAACAAAUGAGAAAAGCUGCACAAGAACAGGACCCAGAGGCUGGUCUGUGAUGCCUAGACUGAGGGUUGGCUACUGGACCAUGAACACAAUGAUGGAUUCCUCCUUUGCUUCUUUUGCUUUUCUCCUGUUUUAAAACCCCAUGUAAAGUUCUUUCUUUCUCUCCUUCUUUCUUUUAUUUACAUUCAGAAAUACACUUGUUUUGUACUGAGUUAUUUUGUGGAUAAAUAGUAGUUUUUGCUUUGGUGAAGUAGGCAUUUUCACCUUUGCCCUAAUAAAAUUGUGUGUGCAAAUCAGGUACCUUGGAUACAAGGGCAAAUUCCAUGACUACCAUGGCUGACAAAAUGGACAUGUCAUUGGAAGACAUCAUUAAGCUGAACAAGAUGCAGCAAGGACGUCGUGACAGGCCUGAUUCCCGGGUGAAGCGAGGCACUGGGCCUAAGAGGUAUCGGCCAGCUUUCACCCAUGGUGGAAGGAACAGGCUGGCACCAUACUGCAGACCAAAACAACUUCCAGACAAGUGGCAGCAUGACCUAUUCAUUGGAGGCUUCAGGGGUCAAAACCACGUGGAUACUGGUGGGAAGCUGUUCCUGUCAAAUCUGCACUUCGGAGUGUCAGAUGCUGAUAUUCAGCUACUCUUUGCUGAAUUUGGAACGUUGAAAAAAUCUGCUGUGCACUAUGAUCGCUGUGGACGAAGUUUAGGGACAGCACAUGUGCACUUUGAAAGGAAAGCAGAUGCCCUGAAGGCUAUGAGAGAGUACAAUGGCGCCCCUUUGGAUGGCCGCCCUAUGAACAUCCACCUUGUCACUUCACAGAUUGAUAGACAAGGAAGACCUGCACUAAACAGUGAUAAGGGUGGCAUGACAAGAAACCCUGGCUCUGGAGUAUUAAGUGGUGGAGGCACCAAGAGAUGGACACUUGGAGGCAGCCAGGGAAGCGGGAGAGGCACCAGCAGGAACUCAAAACUGCAGCAGCAGCAGCAGCAGCAGCAGCAGCAAGAGGAGCAGAAGCACCAGAAGCAGCAACAGCAGAAGCAGCAGCAACAGCAGCAGAAGCAGGGACAGAAUCACCAGCACCAGCAGCAGCAGAAGGAGCAGCAGCAGCAACAGCAGCAGAAGGAACUGCAGCAGCUAUCUGUAGAGGAGCUGGACGCCCAGCUGGAUUAUUAUCAGGAUAUGAUGGACACCAGCUAAACAACUGAGCAAAGCUGCCCAACAACGGGACCCAGAGGCUGGUCUCUGAUGCCUAGACUGAGGGUUGGCUACUGGACCAUGAACACAAUGGUGGAUUCCUCCUUUGCUUCUUUUGCUUUUCUCCUGUUUUAAAACCCCAUGUAAAGUUCUUUCUUUCUCUCCUUCUUUCUUUUAUUUACAUUCAGAAAUACACUUGUUUUGUACUGAGUUAUUUUGUGGAUAAAUUGUAGUUUUUGCUUUGGUGAAGUAGGCAUUUUCACCUUUGCCCUAAUAAAAUUGUGUGUGAAAUAAACAAG